rnacentral:tRNA from 1 species
GUGGUGGCUCAGUGGUAGAGUGCACCCCUAGCAUGCAUGGGGCACUGGGUUCGAUCCUCGGCACCACA